AUUGAACGCUGGCGGCAUGCCUUACACAUGCAAGUCGAACGGCAGCACGGGUGCUUGCACCUGGUGGCGAGUGGCGAACGGGUGAGUAAUACAUCGGAACGUACCUUAUCGUGGGGGAUAGCGCAGCGAAAGUUGCGCUAAUACCGCAUACGCCCUGAGGGGGAAAGCGGGGGACCGUAAGGCCUCGCGCGAUUAGAGCGGCCGAUGUCUGAUUAGCUUGUUGGUGAGGUAAAAGCUCACCAAGGCGAUGAUCAGUAGCUGGUCUGAGAGGACGAUCAGCCACACUGAGACUGAGACACGGCCCAGACUCCUACGGGAGGCAGCAGUGGGGAAUUUCGGACAAUGGGGGCAUCCCUGAUCCAGCAAUGCCGCGUGAGUGAAGAAGGCCUUCGGGUUGUAAAGCUCUUUUGUCAGGGAAGAAACAGCAGCUCUAACACAGUCUGCGAAUGACGGUACCUGAAGAAUAAGCACCGGCUAACUACGUGCCAGCCGCCGCCGUAA
rnacentral:rRNA from 1 species